rnacentral:lncRNA from 1 species
CUUUGCCCUUAUAUAACCUGGAGGGGGCCAUUGCUGGAUGGGCGGCCCCGUACCUAAGGGGUUGUGAACAUACUGUGGACUCGCCUCUGGCGUUUUUGGACGGGCUCCUUGAGCAUGGCCCUUUCCCUGAUGAGAGGUGCGCCAUCCUGGAUUUUGAUUCUCUGUGCCCUUCGAUUGAGCAUGUCCCGGCGAGUGUCGCUCUGUAUAGAUUUGUCCUCCAGCAUCUCCCGGAUGCUGCGACUCGUGCUGCCCUUAUGGGGGAUGUCUGCCAUACCAUCACCUACACAUCUUGCUUUGCCUUUGGAGGCCAGUGUUGUGUUCA